rnacentral:ncRNA from 1 species
GGUUAAGUUAUUAAGGGCGCAUGGUGGAUGCCUUGGUACUAGGAGCCGAUGAAGGACGGGACUAACGCCGAUAUGCUCCGGGGAGCUGUAAGUAAGCUAUGAGCCGGAGAUUUCCGAAUGGGGCAACCCAAUAGUUUUAAUCAACUAUUACUGCUGAUCGAAUUCAUAGAUCAGUCAGAGGUACACGCAGGGAACUGAAACAUCUAAGUACCUGCAGGAAGAAAAAGAAAAAUCGAUUCCCUUAGUAGCGGCGAGCGAACGGGGAACAGCCCAAACCAAGAAGCUUGCUUCUUGGGGUUGUAGGACUGAACAUUUGAGUUACCAAAGCAGACGUUAACCGCAUGACUUGGAAAAGUCAGCCAGAGAAGGUGACAGCCCUGUAGGUGAAAAUGUCUGCUCUCAGUUCAGGAUCCUGAGUACGGCGGAACACGAGAAAUUCCGUCGGAAUCCGGGAGGACCAUCUCCCAAGGCUAAAUACUCCCUAGUGACCGAUAGUGAACCAGUACCGUGAGGGAAAGGUGAAAAGCACCCCGGAAGGGGAGUGAAACAGUUCCUGAAACCAUGUGCCUACAAGUAGUUAGAGCCCGUUAACGGGUGAUAGCGUGCCUUUUGUAGAAUGAACCGGCGAGUUAUGUUUGUCUGCAAGGUUAAGCCGUAAAGGGCGGAGCCGCAGCGAAAGCGAGUCUGAACAGGGCGCACAAGUAGGCAGACAUAGACCCGAAACCAGGUGACCUACCCAUGUCCAGGUUGAAGGUGCGGUAAAACGCACUGGAGGACCGAACUCAUGUAUGUUGAAAAAUGCUGAGAUGAGAUGUGGGUAGCGGAGAAAUUCCAAACGAACUUGGAGAUAGCUGGUUCUCUCCGAAAUAGCUUUAGGGCUAGCCUCGGAAAUUAGGAUCGUGGAGGUAGAGCACUGUUUGAACUAGGGGCCCGUCUUGGGUUACUGAAUUCAGAUAAACUCCGAAUGCCACUGAUCUUUAUCCGGGAGUCAGACUGCGAGUGAUAAGAUCCGUAGUCGAAAGGGAAACAGCCCAGACCACCAAUUAAGGUCCCUAAAUAUAUGUUAAGUGGAAAAGGAUGUGGAGUUGCACAGACAACUAGGAUGUUGGCUCAGAAGCAGCCACCAUUUAAAGAGUGCGUAAUAGCUCACUAGUCGAGUGACCCUGCGCCGAAAAUGUACCGGGGCUAAACAUAUUACCGAAAUUGUGGAUGCAACCGUUAGGUUGCAUGGUAGGAGAGCGUUCUAAGGGCGGUGAAGCUGGACCGGAAGGACCAGUGGAGCGCUUAGAAGUGAGAAUGCCGGUAUGAGUAGCGCAAGACAGGUGAGAAUCCUGUCCACCGUAUGACUAAGGUUUCCUGGGGAAGGCUCGUCCUCCCAGGGUUAGUCGGGACCUAAGCUGAGGCCGCAAGGCGUAGGCGAUGGAUAACAGGUUGAGAUUCCUGUACUAGUUAUACUUGUUUGAACGAUGGAGGGACGCAGGAGGCUAAGGAUGCACACAGCUGGAAACGUGUGCCCAAACAG